AAACGAAAAACUUAACAAAACAAUAACAAAAUUCACAAUCAACAAAAACUUAAAAACUGAAAACAAACACAAACCGCAUACAAGGCAGAUUCACGUCGUUCUGACGUUUGACGAUUGCGAUUUGCAAUACGAUCACAAGAUGGACGUUCCGACUCAUCGAUUUGAUUUCGAUGCAACAGUGUCAAUCUCUAUUGACAAAAGUUCCGUUCCAUGCAUCUGACAUUGGUAUGACAUAAUUUCAUCUUUGUUAAAAUUGACAUUUUUUUAAUACAUAACAGUUAAUAACAUAAAUAAUAUCUGUUCUGUUAUUAAUUAUUUAAUUAGUCUUUUGGUCAGGAGAAAAUAAUUAGUUUCGUUUGGUUCCCCUAUUGUUUUCUUGUGAGAAAAUUGCGUAGCAAGGAGUAUGAGAACUGUCACGCAUAUCGCUUUACGGAGUAUCAACAUUUAAUAACAUUACAUAUUGGCUUGUUUUGUUAUUGUUUAAGAACGACUUUAAAAAAUGUAAAAACGCUCCAAAUUAUAUUUUUAUUUGUGGUGUUAUAACACCGUGCGGUGCAAGGAAAACUACCAAUAAAUCUGUUUUAACAAUUCAUAGACAAAAGAAGAGAUACCAUGAUCUGCUCCACAACCAAACUAUUUGGUUGUUACUCGAAAAGCGUUGGCUACAGAAGUGGCUUGAUGUCAUUGGUACUGAAUAUAAUACUGUGUGCUUAUUCAUUAAACUUGAGGCUGCAUGAUGAUGCAGUACCAUUGUCCACCUUGUAUUAAGCAUAAAAAAUCCUCAUGGCAUCUCGGCCUGAAAUGAAAAUUGUCCAAGAAUAACAGGCAUGAUAACUCAACUAAGCUUACGAGUGAAACACCUGGAUGAGUUUAUAAAGAGACUGAACCCGAAACCGAUUACUUCUGUGAAAACAAUGCCAAAUAAAUAUGAAUUAUUGCUGCCUCAUCCGCCAUCUUUAUUUAAUAAGAUCCAGGAAGUAUGUGGUGCCCAGAGAAACAAGUAAAGUAUUGAAUGAGAAAAUUAGACGCCAAGUCAAAACAUCUUAAAUAUGCAAGAUGUUAUUACUAUUAUGAAGAACAAAGCUACAUGAAAAAACGGUUUGCAAGGCUUUCCUUUCUAAACCAAGUACCUAUUCUGAGAUAAUUAAAAAGUUGAACUACGC